rnacentral:rRNA from 1 species
AAGCUCGUAGUUGAAUUUCGGGAUUAGUACGUCGGUCGUGCCUUAGGUACGUACUGGUGUUACUGGUUCCUACCUUCUGACGAACCAUCAUGUCAUUAAUUUGGUGUGGUGGGGAAUCAGGACUGUUACUUUGAAAAAAUUAGAGUGUUUAAAGCAGGCUCGCGCUUGAAUACAUUAGCAUGGAAUAAUGAAAUAGGACGUUGAUCCUAUUUUGUUGGUUUCUAGGAUUGACGUAAUGAUUAAUAGGGAUAGUGGGCGAGCGGGCUGGCAAGG